GGAUGCUCCCGCUUUGACAGCCCACAGACUGCAAUCGGAAGGAUACUGAGAAGAUCGGCAUGGCCCCAGGGCAAGGAUGCCAUGGAAAUCUGUGAAGGCUCCUAUGGCUUU